rnacentral:rRNA from 1 species
UGGGGAAUUUUGCGCAAUGGGGGCAACCCUGACGCAGCAACGCCGCGUGGGUGAUGAAGGCCUUCGGGUUGUAAAGCCCUGUCGAGCGGGGCGAAAUCCCGCCGGUAAAUAGCCGGCGGGGAUGACGGUACCGCUAAAGGAAGCACCGGCUAACUCUGUGCCAGCAGCCGCGGUAAGACAGAGGGUGCGAGCGUUGUUCGGAAUUACUGGGCGUAAAGCGCAUGUAGGCGGCGUAGCAUGUCAAGUGUGAAAUCCCCCGGCUCAACCGGGGAAGUGCACUCGAAACUGCUGCGCUAGAGUGUGGAAGAGGAAGGUGGAAUUCCUGGUGUAGAGGUGAAAUUCGUAGAUAUCAGGAGGAACACCCGUGGCGAAGGCGGCCUUCUGGUCCAUUACUGACGCUGAGAUGCGAAAGCGUGGGGAGCAAACAGG